GCCAGGUGAAGGGCAGGGCUGACAGCUGACAUCACCUCUUACCCAAAGAUCUAUGGGCGACACCUAACCCCUCCCACGCCAGCCAGGGUGGGGCAGGCCGGGCACCAGGGCCCUGUUGAAUAAGGGAAACUGAGAGAUGGAGAAGUCGAAGGGACCACCUGACCUCAGAGUGAAAGCCACCCUCCUGUGGCCUUUGUGGUUCCUACCACAUACCACGUGGACCCAUAGCUCAGUCCCUGCCCCUUCUUCCUUCCUCCCCACCUCUCCCAGAUCUGAAAUCAACACAGACCUCUGAGGGCACAAGCAAAAUGGACUAGUCAUGGCUGUGCUGCUCCUGUCUGAGGUUACGUAGCUGAGGAUACGAUCCUGCCUGAGGAUACGAUCCUGCCACGGGCAAAAGGAACCCACUGGGAGACUCCGGAAGUGGCCAUGCUUCCUCCCGACUGGCACCUGUGCAGGGGCUGGCCGCCACCCAUGGCACAGUGUCUCACAGAGGGCGGGGCUGGCCGAGGAGGCAGGAAAGAGCUGUUGUGCUGAUGAGGUGCCGUCGUGUCACACGGACAGGAGUGCCAGAAUUCAGAGGAAGCGCGGGCCUAGGCCGUGGCCAGAACAUCCAGCCUGGCUUUGUGAAUAUCCUGAUGCUUUGAGCUACCCUCAUUCCAACUGCCCGGCCAGGGAAAGGCUGAAGAGGACUGAGCAGUACUCCAAACACGGAAGAGAGAAAGAUAUCUUCGCGGAUGUACGCAUAGAAACAGCCGCCUCUUCCCCCGGUGUCAGCAACGGGGAGGGGAGAUCUGGGGACUUCUCUUCCAUGUUGUCUGAGCCUUAUACGACAAACAUAUGUGACUUCAAUAAUCAGAGGGGAAACAUCCAGCAUAGCUAUUUUCAUUUGGAAAACAGAAAAAGGAGCAGCCCCGAGAGUGGGCCAGAGGCGACGUUGUCAGAGCUCUGGCUCUGGGCCACCUUGUCAUUUGUCCUCAGAGCAUCACUUCUGACAGCAGACACUCGACGUGGUGGGGGAGGAGGUGUCUCCUUGGAAUCCACUCUCCCCACACCCCUCACGGCCCCCCAGCCCUCCCUGCCACCCCCUCUGGGUGCGACCAAAGGCCAAAGUGAAAACGAGAUCUGAAACUUCAGCCUGGAAAAGCAGGAGGCGCUGCUGCCAGAUAAGAAGGGAUCACCGCUCACCAGCUGGGGCCCCCACCCUGCCGCUGCCCUGUCCCCCUCGUCACCUCCCCGCCUGCAUCCCACAUCCCAGGCCUCUUUGGGGACAUGGUCCCAGGAGUCUUCUCCCGUCUGCUGCCUGAGAGCAGACUGAGAGACGCCCCAUACGCUGGCCUCGUUCCUCUGGACUCGGGCAGCCAGCGUCUCUAGAGGCUCCUUUGCCAGAGUUACCAAGUUCCUGAUGAGACGCGAUCCAUUAAAAUGGCUGGGGGAAGUGACCGGAUCAGCUGCUGGC
rnacentral:lncRNA from 1 species